GAAGCGAAUGCGCCGCCUCUUCCUAGAUCUCCGCCGCCGCCGCCUGGGCUCAAUGCUGUCACUGCCGCUGGACUCGACACCACCCCCGCCGCCUUGAUUGGACCGGCAACCUCCGUCCCCAGCAUCCUCUCCUCCAGACGCCAGAGGCAAUGUUGGAGAAGAUGGCGUCCUGGAUUGGAUAGCAGAGAUUGUGUAGAGCACUAUGGAUAUCUACUUUACUGACAGGGAAUUAGGCAUAAUACAUAGUGCUUUUCCUGAAUGUUUGCGGGGAGCUCAGUUAGUGUCGAUGCCUCAAGGGUUUAUGAAUAACAGUUCCAUGUUGCUUAAAGGCAUUGUAAUGCUGGCUACUAGUUUCCAGGUAUAUGUUUAUGUAGUCAUAUGGACGCGCUCAUUGAUAAUUCCUAUAGAAUGUUUAUAUUCUUUAUAACUUUGCCAUGGAUGAACCUAUUCUGGAUAAUGACGAGUUAGCAAGGGAAGUUUCUGAUUGUAGAGAAUUGGUGACGCGUUUGCUUCAGGAUACUUAAUUAUAUGGCCUUGAGCUUUUAUUCAAAAGAAGGAUCAUUGAGUUGCAGCUGAAUUCUUCGGUUGGAUCAAGCAGCGAAGAAGAUUUUACUUAGCAAUACCUGUAGUUUACAUUGACAGAUUGAAAAAUGUAAUAUCAUUCACAAGAUUUUUUUCUUUGGUCGAAUUGAUGCAACUGCUAUGGUGUAAUAUUCUCCAUAGUUGUGUUGUCUAUAGUCAAAUUGAUAUGAAUGAUAUUAUGUUGCACCAAUAAUAUUGGUAUUUGUUUAUUGUAAUGCAU